GUGGGCGUGCCAGAGUGGUCAAAUGGGCUGGGCUUAGGACCCAGUAGCUUAGUGCUUACGCAGGUUCGAGUAUUAAGCUGUGCUUAAUGAAUUGGAACAAGUGCGGUUUUUUCGAAAUUCCUGCCGCCCACA
rnacentral:tRNA from 1 species